CUGCGAUCUCUCUGCUCUCAUCAGUGGCAUUUACCAGGCUAAGGGAGCAGGGAGGCUUUGGAAAGGGUGAGGCUGGGGAAUGGGGUCACAUUCCCCUCCUCAAAAUGCUGAGUUCAUUGCGUUUAUAACAGUGUUCCCCCAGCAGCAUUAAUCACCUGCGAGGGGUGGCUGCAGCCAAACAUCCCUGCUGGCCUUCAGCAGACUGGGGCCUUCCUUCUGCUUGCUGUACUGCUGCAAACUGUCCAGCUGAGGAGCAGGAGGGGACUCAGUGCAUUUUGUUGGUGCUGGAAAGUCACCUGUCUGCAGAGGAGGGCAGGCUGCAGGGCCACCAGCCAGCUUGCUCAGACAGCAUGGAAAGCCUCAAGGCAAUAACAGAAGGCAAACAGCAUUGGAUAAGUGCAGGGGGCAGCCCAGAGCGAGUGUGAGCUGAGCACAGCAGGUUUCUGUGCCCACUCCCUCUGCUGAGCCACCUUUCCCAGGAGAUUCCUAUCUUGCAGGAAAGCUCUUCAAACAAGCCAAGCAUCUGGACAAGGCCUGUGGGCAACUGCUGCCUGGCAGCUCAGGGGAGAAUCAGCAGCUGUCCUCCCACAUGUGAAAGAAAGCAUUGGUGAUGAGGCUGAGCAUCACAUCUGAAUCAGCCCAUCCACCCCUCCUCUGAAAGAUGCUCCAAGCUGCUCUGGUGCCAAAGAGCAAGCCUGGAGAGCAUUUGGG
ensembl:lncRNA